AGAGUUUGAUCAUGGCUCAGAACGAACGCUGGCGGCAGGCCUAAAACAUGCAAGUCGAGCGCCCAGCAAUGGGAGCGGCGGACGGGUGAAUAACACGUGGGAAUGUACCUUUCGGUACGGAACAACUCAGGGAAACUUGAGCUAAUACCGUAUGCGCCCUAACGGGGAAAGAUUUAUCGCCGAAAGAUCAGCCCGCGUCCGAUUAGCUAGUUGGUGAGGUAAUGGCUCACCAAGGCUCCGAUCGGUAGCUGGUUUGAGAGAACGAUCAGCCACACUGGGACUGAGACACGGCCCAGACUCCUACGGGAGGCAGCAGUUGGGAAUCUUGGACAAUGGGCGAAAGCCUGAUCCAGCCAUGCCGCGUGAGUGAUGAAGGCCUUAGGGUUGUAAAGCUCUUUUGCCAGGGAUGAUAAUGACCGUACCUGGAGAAUAAGCCCCGGCUAACUUCGUGCCAGCAGCCGCGGUAAUACGAAGGGGGCUAGCGUUGUUCGGAAUUACUGGGCGUAAAGCGUGCGCAGGCGGUUUCUCAAGUCAGGGGUGAAAGCCCGGAGCUCAACUCCGGAAUUGCCUUUGAAACUGUGAAGCUAGAGUGCGGGAGAGGUGAGUGGAAUUCCCAGUGUAGAGGUGAAAUUCGUAGAUAUUGGGAAGAACACCGGUGGCGAAGGCGGCUCACUGGCCCGUUUCUGACGCUCAUGCACGACAGCGUGGGGAUCAAACAGGAUUAGAUACCCUGGUAGUCCACGCUGUAAACUAUGGAUGCUAGCCGUUGGGUAGCUUGCUACUCAGUGGCGCAGCUAACGCCUUAAGCAUCCCGCCUGGGGAGUACGGCCGCAAGGUUGAAACUCAAAGGAAUUGACGGGGCCCGCACAAGCGGUGGAGCAUGUGGUUUAAUUCGACGCAACGCGCAGAACCUUACCAGGGUUUGACAUCCUGUGCUCGCUGGAGAGAUCCAGUUUUCCCGCAAGGACACAAGAGACA
rnacentral:rRNA from 1 species